CAAUAGCGUAUAUUAAAGCUGUUGCGGUUAAAAAGCUCGUAGUUGGAUUUCUGCCGAGGACAACUGGUCCGCCCAUUGGGUGAGCACAUAGUUUGGUCUCGACAUCUUGCUGGAAACUGCUACUGUACUUGGCUGUAUGGUACAGAGUCCAGCACUUUCACUUUGAGGAAAUUGGAGUGUUUCAAGCAGGCACAUGCCUUUGGACACAGUAGCAUGGAAUAAUUAGAUUGGGCUUUUGCUCCAACUUGUCGGUUUCUGGAGCUGAGGUGAGAAUUAAUGGGGAUUGUUGGGGGCAUCCGAAUUUAGCCGUCAGAGGUGAAAUUCUUGGAUCUGCUAAAGACGGACAACUGCGAAAGCGUUUGCCCAGGAUGUUUUCAUUG
rnacentral:rRNA from 1 species